rnacentral:rRNA from 1 species
GACGAACGCUGGCGGCGUGCUUAACACAUGCAAGUCGAACGGAAAGGCCCUGCUUUUGUGGGGUGCUCGAGUGGCGAACGGGUGAGUAACACGUGAGUAACCUGCCCUUGACUUUGGGAUAACUUCAGGAAACUGGGGCUAAUACCGGAUAGGAGCUCCUGCUGCAUGGUGGGGGUUGGAAAGUUUCGGCGGUUGGGGAUGGACUCGCGGCUUAUCAGCUUGUUGGGGGGGUAGUGGCUUACCAAGGCUUUGACGGGUAGCCGGCCUGAGAGGGUGACCGGCCCCAUUGGGACUGCGAUACGGCCCAGACUCCUACGGGAGGCAGCAGUGGGGAAUAUUGCACAAUGGGCGGAAGCCUGAUGCAGCAACGCCGCGUGCGGGAUGACGGCCUUCGGGUUGUAAACCGCUUUCGCCUGUGACGAAGCGUGAGUGACGGUAAUGGGUAAAGAAGCACCGGCUAACUACGUG